rnacentral:misc_RNA from 1 species
GAUCGAGUCAAUCUUCUGAAAAGAGUGAGUUUAAUCUCAAACAGUAAAGUAGUCUUGUGUCAGUGCUAUGGAUAAGAUAUAGACUGUAUGCGUGCAUGUGUUUGUAAUGUGUAUAAUUUUUUAUUUGACUAAUUCAUGCUUCUUUUUGAAAGUUGAGAACUUGAAGGGUGAAAAAUGGAAAUUUCAUUGCACCGAUUUCUAAUUUUGUAAGGAGUGUUGCAAUGUUCCUAAAAUCUUAUUGUAAUUCUUUAUUUCUCAGCAAUCUAGCAUGAAAUAUGAUCAAGCGAAUGCUAAAUGAACAAUGUCAUGAUUGUUAAACUUUAUACACUGUAUUCCCUAAUUAUGUAAUUGUUAUAUUCUGUUCAAAUUUUUUAUGUCUAGAUUAUACAUGCUUUUGCUUGUAUUUAUAAUAUGUCUAGACGGAAUCAAUGGAAUAUUAGUGGAACUCAUUUGUUUUUGCAUGUAUUGCAUUAUUAGCUAUCAUGAAUGCCCCAAACAGAUCUUAAUGCGCUUCAUUUCUGUAGUUGUCAGGUGAUAUACAUGAGGAG